GGUGUAGCGCAGUUGGUUAGCGCGCCUGCUUUGGGAGCAGGAGGUCACAAGUUCGAAUCCUGUUACC
rnacentral:tRNA from 1 species